rnacentral:rRNA from 1 species
UACAGAGGUGGCAAGCGUUGUUCGGAAUUACUGGGCGUAAAGCGCGCGUAGGCGGCUUUGCAAGUCGGGUGUGAAAUCCCCAGGCUUAACCUGGGAACUGCAUUCGAGACUGCAUUGCUAGAGUAUGGGAGAGGGAAGUGGAAUUUCCGGUGUAGCGGUGAAAUGCGUAGAUAUCGUAAGGAAGACCAGUGGCGAAGGCGGGUCUCUGGACAGUUCCUGACGCUGAGGCACGAAGGUCAGGGGAGCAAACGGG